AGAUGACGAGCGGCGGACGGGUGAGUAAUACUUAGGAAUCUACCUAGUAGUGGGGGAUAGCUCGGGGAAACUCGAAUUAAUACCGCAUACGACCUACGGGAGAAAGGGGGCAACUUGUUGCUCUCGCUAUUAGAUGAGCCUAAGUCGGAUUAGCUAGAUGGUGGGGUAAAGGCCUACCAUGGCGACGAUCUGUAGCUGGUCUGAGAGGAUGAUCAGCCACACCGGGACUGAGACACGGCCCGGACUCCUACGGGAGGCAGCAGUGGGGAAUAUUGGACAAUGGGGGAAACCCUGAUCCAGCCAUGCCGCGUGUGUGAAGAAGGCCUUUUGGUUGUAAAGCACUUUAAGCAGUGAAGAAGACUCCAUGGUUAAUACCCAUGGACGAUGACAUUAGCUGCAGAAUAAGCACCGGCUAACUCUGUGCCAGCAGCCGCGGUAAUACAGAGGGUGCAAGCGUUAAUCGGAAUUACUGGGCGUAAAGGGAGCGUAGGUGGCUCGAUAAGUCAGAUGUGAAAUCCCCGGGCUCAACCUGGGAACUGCAUCUGAUACUGUUGAGCUAGAGUAUGUGAGAGGAAGGUAGAAUUCCAGGUGUAGCGGUGAAAUGCGUAGAGAUCUGGAGGAAUACCGAUGGCGAAGGCAGCCUUCUGGCAUAAUACUGACACUGAGGCUCGAAAGCGUGGGUAGCAAACAGGAUUAGAUACCCUGGUAGUCCACGCCGUAAACGAUGUCUACUAGUCGUUGGGUCCCUUGAGGACUUAGUGACGCAGCUAACGCAAUAAGUAGACCGCCUGGGGAGUACGGCCGCAAGGUUAAAACUCAAAUGAAUUGACGGGGGCCCGCACAAGCGGUGGAGCAUGUGGUUUAAUUCGAUGCAACGCGAAGAACCUUACCUGGUCUUGACAUAUCUAGAAUCCUGCAGAGAUGCGGGAGUGCCUUCGGGAAUUAGAAUACAGGUGCUGCAUGGCUGUCGUCAGCUCGUGUCGUGAGAUGUUGGGUUAAGUCCCGCAACGAGCGCAACCCUUGUCCUUAGUUACCAGCGGGUUAAGCCGGGAACUCUAAGGAUACUGCCAGUGACAAACUGGAGGAAGGCGGGGACGACGUCAAGUCAUCAUGGCCCUUACGACCAGGGCUACACACGUGCUACAAUGGUAGGUACAGAGGGCAGCUACACAGCGAUGUGAUGCGAAUCUCAAAAAGCCUAUCGUAGUCCGGAUUGGAGUCUGCAACUC
rnacentral:rRNA from 1 species